UACGAAGGGGGCUAGCGUUGCUCGGAAUCACUGGGCGUAAAGGGUGCGUAGGCGGGUCUUUAAGUCAGGGGUGAAAUCCUGGAGCUCAACUCCAGAACUGCCUUUGAUACUGAGGAUCUUGAGUUCGGGAGAGGUGAGUGGAACUGCGAGUGUAGAGGUGAAAUUCGUAGAUAUCAAGUGGAACACCAGUGGCGAAGGCGAGUCUCUGGACAUUUCCUGACGCUGAGGCACGAAAGCCAGGGGAGCAAACGGG
rnacentral:rRNA from 1 species